rfam:Triticum aestivum genome assembly, contig: Triticum_aestivum_CS42_TGACv1_scaffold_579375_7BL
UAUAUACUCCCUCCGUCCCAAAAUUCUUGUCUUAGAUUUGUCGAGAUACAGAUGUAUAUAAUACUAAAAUGUGACUUGAUACAUCCAUAUCUAGACAAAUCUAAGACAAGAAUUUUGGAACGGAUGGAGUAUAUC